GGCCUGGGCGGGCUGGCUGGCUGCGUCUCCAUCUCCCGCAACAUCGGAGGUGCCCUCCGCGGAACGGCGGUUGGAGCUUAACAGAUCCCGAGAGAACGUUGAUUGAGGUUCCCAGAGUGAGUGACACAUCAUUAAAAACAAUCCUUGACUUUAGAUUCACCUGGUACUGAACAACAUUGGAUACUUUCCAGCAUCCCUCUGACCACACGAUCAAAAUUUAGAUGCUUGGCAAUCGAUAUGAAUUUACAAAGGUUGCAGUGUCUUCGGUCUUGUGAUCACCAUUUGCUACUUUGCAAGGCGGCUUCCAACAAGCAAAGUCAAUAGGAAAAGCCAGAUUCACAAUGACUGAAUGGAAAAAGAAGGAUGUAAAUUCAUGUGUGUCUCAUUUAAUGACUGCACCGCUUCGUGAUGGAAGCUCGUCCCAAUUGUAGCCAUGUCAAAGAUUACUCAUGCAUUGACAGUUUUUCAUUAUUAAAAUGCCUCCCUAUUAUUUGAUUAAUAUGCAGAAGAGUGUCUGAUUCUAUUUUCCUGUCAUUGUUUCUUUGCUCCUGCUUAUUUUUAUUAUCAGUCUCUCCGUCAUGUUUGAAAAUGCAAUCCUAAAAUGAUUCCCAUCAAAAUAGGUUGAUGCAAUGGCACUGUGGGCAUGUGAGUGAAUCAACACCAAAAGAGACAGACUUUCAAUUGCACAGGUUGUGGCCACUGCCUUGAGUUUGCAGAAUAUCAGAGCUAUAAACAAAUCCUGAUGAAAGCCUACUCAACCAAUGGCAAUCUUUAUUUAAGCAUCAGCACCACCAGUCCACUCAGUAAUAUUUACUUUGAAGUAAUCUGUCUCCUUCCGAUACUUGAUAUUUUAGUUCCAUUGUGCUGCCAGCAUUGAAUUAUCGGAGUUAUAAUUAUAAUCUAAAACAUCUGGAGAAUAUUAGGCUGCAUACCCCCUCUAGCACUUCGAUUCAUGAAAGUGGAUUUUUUCCAGGUCAUAACAAAAUGUCUUUAGAGAUACAAGAAAUCAGUUGAUUGCCUGGUCAAUCUUUUUUCCCCCAAGAACAAAGGGAAGUCUAUUUAUAUUCACUUUAUGUUAUUUUGUAGUUUCUUCAUGCAGAUAACUAAUAAUCACUGUAUGUAACUCUCAGAACAUUAUAAACCUGAUUUGUCAAUAAUGGCUUUGCAACAAUAAAAACUAAUCCUGGAUUAAGUGGACUUCAUUGAUAAUGUGACUGUCCAGUUAUACCUGUGUAAUUUGUUCAUUUUUAACAAUAUUAAUUCACUGUGAUUACAUUAUUUAGCCAGAUUCUUUUUAAUUUUUCCUUACUGUUGGACUGUAAGGAAGUUUGUUUUUUGCAAGGCUUAAAGCCCCUGAACCUCAGUGGCAACAUUUGUAUACUCGAAAUCUGUUUCCUCUUUGCUCCUAUGCUGGGUGGCAACUGA